AACGAACGCUGGCGGCAUGCCUAACACAUGCAAGUCGAACGCCUGUAGCAAUACAGGAGUGGCAGACGGGUGCAUAACACGUGGGAACCUACCCUUGGGUACGGAAUAACCGCGGGAAACUGCGGCUAAUACCGGAUACGUCCUCUGGGAGAAAGAUUCAUCGCCCUUGGAGGGGCCCGCGUCGGAUUAGCUAGUUGGUGAGGUAACGGCUCACCAAGGCGACGAUCCGUAGCUGAUCUGAGAGGAUGAUCAGCCACACUGGAACUGAGACACGGUCCAGACUCCUACGGGAGGCAGCAGUGGGGAAUAUUGGACAAUGGGGGCAACCCUGAUCCAGCAAUGCCGCGUGGGUGAUGAAGGCCUUCGGGUUGUAAAGCCCUUUUGGCAGGGACGAUGAUGACGGUACCUGCAGAAUAAGCCCCGGCUAACUUCGUGCCAGCCGCCGCCGUAA
rnacentral:rRNA from 1 species